GGCCCAAUGGUCUAGUAGUAUGAUACGUGCUUCGGGCGUCAGCCAGCUUGCGUCUGCGAGUCAGUUGCACGGGGUCCCGGGUUCAAUUCCCGGUUGGGCCC